AUGUGCAUCCCUCCUGAAGCUGCGCACUCGGUGGAAGAGGACGACCAUCCCAGAUAGAAGGAGUGUACUGUUCUUCGGUCAAGGGUAUACGAUAGCUGCGCUCCCCUGCUAGAACCUCCAAACAACCUCCGCCCCUGUCUCAAGGGUCAAAGGCCAAGUUAAAGAGGUGCAUCUUCAGCAUUCAGUACAUGCGAA